GGGUCUGUCCAUCGGUCGGGCUUCACGGUCCGUACUGGCUCGAUGGGUUCCUACCUUCUGAAUAACCGGCAUGCCAUUCAGUUGGUGCGCCGGGGAAGCAGAGCUAUUACCUUGAAAAAAUUAGAGUGCUUAAAGCAGGCUAUUGCUUGAAUAGAUUAGCAUGGAAUAAUAAAAUAGGACGGCAUGGUUCUAUUUUGUUUGUUUCUAGGAUCACCGUA
rnacentral:rRNA from 1 species